AUACGGAAGGUCCGGGCGUUAUCCGGAUUUAUUGGGUUUAAAGGGAGCGCAGGCGGAGAUGCAAGCGUGACGUCAAAUUUCGGGGCUCAACCCCGUCUCGCGUCGCGAACUGCGUCCCUUGGUUGCGGGAAGGGGAGGCGGAACUCGUGGUGUAGCGGUGAAAUGCAUAGAUAUCACGAAGAACUCCGAUCGCGAAGGCAGCCUUCCGGCCCGUCAACGACGCUCAUGCUCGAAGGUGCGGGUAUCAAACAGGAUUAGAUACCCUGUUAGUCCGCACAGUAAACGAUGGACACCCGCGGUUUGGCCUGUAUGGCUGAGCCGCCAAGCGAAAGCGUUAAGUGUCCCACCUGGGGAGUACGCCGGCAACGGUGAAACUCAAAGGAAUUGACGGGG
rnacentral:rRNA from 1 species